rnacentral:RNase_P_RNA from 1 species
CCAGCCGGCCGGGCGGCCGCAUCCGCGACAGCCGAAAGGCUGCGGAUGAGGAAAGUCCGGGCUCCAUGGAGACACGGUGCCGGCUAACGGCCGGCGGGGGCGACCCCAGGGAAAGUGCCACAGAAAGCAAACCGCCAUGCCCGUCCUUCGGGGCGACGCGUGGCAAGGGUGAAAGGGUGGGGUAAGAGCCCACCGCGCGACCGGCAACGGGAGCGGCACGGCAAACCCCACCGGGAGCAAAACCGAAUAGGGGCGGUGCGAGGGGAAACCCUCGGGGCUGUUUCCGGCCCAGCCGUCCGGGUAGGUUGCGUGAGGCGCGCAGCAAUGCGCGUCCAAGAUGAAUGGCCGCCACGCUCCUGUCUGCAAGGGCAGGGGCCAUACAGAACCCGGCUUACAGGCCGGCUGGCAUU